UACAGAGGGGGCAAGCGUUAUUCGGAAUUAUUGGGCGUAAAGGGCGCGUAGGCGGCCUGGCAAGUGGAAGGUGAAAUCCCUCGGCUUAACCGAGGAACUGCCCUCCAAACUGCUUGGCUUGAGUCCGGGAGAGGUGAGUGGAACUGCGAGUGUAGAGGUGAAAUUCGUAGAUAUUCGCAAGAACACCAGUGGCGAAGGCGGCUCACUGGCCCGAUACUGACGCUGAGGCACGAAAGCGUGGGGAGCAAACAGG
rnacentral:rRNA from 1 species